rnacentral:misc_RNA from 1 species
UAUCAUUUCCUCCGAGUAAUAGCCAUCAAAAUAGUCAUCAAUGAUGCCCAUUAAUGCCCAAAAGGCAUUUUCCUCAGGCAUCAGAAGUAGCAAUAAUCCAGCAAAGAAAUUCAUCGCCUGACAAUACCCAACAGANNNNNNNNNGCCGCGCAUAGGCUAAAAGUAAACGCCUCAAGGAAUCCCUGCCAUGCUCAUCCAAUGCAGGAUGACCCGGGAAGGUUCGUGGUAUAUCCUUCUCAAUUUGCCUUUUCC